rnacentral:sRNA from 1 species
GUCUCGCGGCCGGCGUCCGGAGCAUGGCGGACCCCCAGAGCUGUUUUAUGACGAGACAGAAGCCCGGAAAUACGUUCGCAACUCACGGAUGAUUGAUAUCCAGACCAGGAUGGCUGGGCGAGCAUUGGAGCUUCUUUGUCUGCCAGAGAAUAAGCCCUGUUACCUGCUGGAUAUUGGCUGUGGCACUGGGCUGAGUGGAAGUUAUCUGUCAGAUGAAGGGCACUAUUGGGUGGGCCUGGAUAUCAGCCCUGCCAUGCUGGAUGAGGCUGUGGACCGAGAGAUAGAGGGAGACCUGCUGCUGGGGGAUAUGGGCCAGGGCAUCCCAUUCAAGCCAGGCACAUUUGAUGGUUGCAUCAGGUCCGGGGAUCCCGAGCUGUCCUGCAGCUGUACCCUGAGAACUCAGAGCAGUUGGAGCUGAUCACAACCCAGGCCACAAAGGCGGGCUUCUCUGGUGGCAUGGUGGUAGACUACCCUAACAGUGCCAAAGCAAAGAAGUGAGCGCUGGGGGCCGGUGUGCUGCCUGGGCUGCAGGAGGGAGGGUAGUGGCAUAGCCCUUUCAGGCCACUCAGUGGUGCAGAGGAGUGCUGGGUAUGGAUCACCAGGAUCCAGGCAGGCGGAGGGGGGUGCGGGU